rnacentral:rRNA from 1 species
CCUACGGGCGGCAGCAGUGGGGAAUAUUGCACAAUGGGCGCAAGCCUGAUGCAGCCAUGCCGCGUGUGUGAAGAAGGCCUUCGGGUUGUAAAGCACUUUCAGCGGGGAGGAAGGCGGUGAGGUUAAUAACCUCAUCGAUUGACGUUACCCGCAGAAGAAGCACCGGCUAACUCCGUGCCAGCAGCCGCGGUAAUACGGAGGGUGCAAGCGUUAAUCGGAAUUACUGGGCGUAAAGCGCACGCAGGCGGUCUGUCAAGUCGGAUGUGAAAUCCCCGGGCUCAACCUGGGAACUGCAUUCGAAACUGGCAGGCUGGAGUCUUGUAGAGGGGGGUAGAAUUCCAGGUGUAGCGGUGAAAUGCGUAGAGAUCUGGAGGAAUACCGGUGGCGAAGGCGGCCCCCUGGACAAAGACUGACGCUCAGGUGCGAAAGCGUGGGGAGCAAACAGGAUUAGAUACCCUUGUAGUC